GAGAGAGAAACAGAGCUAACGUUUCGAGUCCAUAUGACUUCUUCAGAGCUAAAGAGAAUUAUUGAAAGAUCAACUGGGCUUCAAUCUUUGAAUGGGUUUAUCCUUACAACACUUUGGAUAUAAAUUGAGAGAGGGGAAUGUGCAACGAGACCUGGGUGUCCUCAUACACCAGUCGCUGAAGUUUUAAAAUGGACUUUUGCUGUAUCACAAGAUGGCUGCUACGGGCCACAUGACUCAAGAUUGGCCAUAUGUUCUGGAAACUUCCAACAGAAAUUACAAGAACAAGAGAGUUCUACUCUCAUCCUUGUGGAAUCUCACAUCCCAUGGGCCACAUUAUAAUCAUGAAACUAGACGACUAACAGACGACCUGAUUCCCCCAGCCGGGACGAUGACAAAGACAGAGACAUUGAAACUAGUUUUACCUGAAGAGGUGUUAACAGCCAAUGUUUCGCUCCUAAGGGAAACAAUGGAUUUUGGCCAGAAACUUGUGAGGCUGCAAUUAACUCAUCAAUGGGCCACAUCACAUGGCCCAUGCUUCUAGCCCUUUGGACUGUUUCAGUAUUACAUUUCUAGCCUCACAGCUCAGUCUGCUGAUUUAUCACCAACCGGAAAGAACUCUAACAGAUCUCCCAGCUGACCAAGCAGUCACCACCAUUUCUCAAUUCCUCAAAGCCUGUUGAUUUUUAAAAAAUCUCUGAUCAUCACCUGCCAAACGGUCGGAGCACAGAAAUCCCAUCGUACUGCAUUGUUAUUCACUUCAAGGACUUUCAUGCUGCCGUCUCCAACCAGGGACUCAUUAGAACUGAACUGCACCACAAAGGAAACACCCUCUGGACUUUAGUUUCCUGGGGGAGAAUUUUCUCCCCAUCGGACCGGCCGGCUGGGAGCCGAUUGCCACCCACGAUUGGCUCUGCACCGCCAUUUUGUGUGGGCAUGUUUCAUAAAAAAUGCGAAGGCCGCUUGGGCUCAACCAAAGGUUGGACGGACAGCUUUCUCAAUUGUCUUAAUUGUUUGAUUAAUGGCCUUAACAGGCCUUUGACAGUUCGGCGGGCACACAGCCAACUCUGGUGUGCGCCCACCAAACAGAAGAUCAGAAUGACACACAGUGACAUAGGGACGCAUGCCCGAUGUCACCACACGUCAUUUUAAGUGCCCCGCAUGCCAAACAGAAAAUUCUGCCCCUGGAUUCUGGAAAUCACAUGAACUGAUAUUUAUGUCUGUGAUUCUUUUGCUGUUGUUAUCCAUAGUUGUAAAGACUCCUUUUCUUUCCCCCUUACUAUAUAUGUCUGUGUGUAUAUGUGCGAAGU